GCGGAAGUUUAAUAUGCAAAAGAAAGAGAAGAGUUCUCUGCUGCAGAGAGGGGUCUCAGAAAAAUGGGUUGCCGGAUCCGCGGUGAAAUGCAGGAGGUUUUAUAGAUGAGCUGGUGGGGAGGCGGCGUCUGAUCUACAUAGGCAAGAAAGGGCAAGAAAGACUGGUUAGACCAGUUGUGCUAUUUGCAUAGGGCACGAAUCUCUGGUAUCCCCCAUCCUAACCUUUUUUUAUUAUCCAGGCGCGUCUCUGCCUGAGGUGCACCAUGUUGCCCAUUUCUUUAUUACUGUACACGUGAUAACAAAAAAAGAGAAGAUGGAGCCUCCAUGUUGGACAUGGCCGCCCCCAGAUGGAGCCCCGGGGGGGCCGUGGCUGGCCUGGAGCUGGGGUGGCAGAGUCUCUCUCCUGGUUUUGCUCUCACAGAGCGUGACAUCUCCCUGGAGCAAGGUGGGACCACUGCUGAGCUCACAUCAGUCACUGUACUUCCUAGGAAGUUUUCUGAUACAACGUCAUUUCCUGUAAGUUGGGAUUUUUGCACACAGGACAAAACAAAGAUGACAGCUCAUCUCUCUUGACCCUGUAGAUGUGAUGGCUGGAGCUAGAGUGACCAUCUGGAACCACCUGGUGAACUUGAGCUUGAGACUCUAACACUGCAGAGUGUCAUACCAACUGUGAUGACCUACUCAGACUUCUAAGUAAGACAGCAAUAAACUUCAUUCUGAUUUAACCCACUGUUACUUUGAGCUUUUUCUAUUACAGUCAAGUCUAAUCCUAACCGAUAUAUGCUCCCUUCAACUUUUCCUCAGGCACUGGGAGAAAAGACAGAGCACAAAAGAUGCAACCUCAAACUGAAUUUCUAAGAGGAAGACGAGUCUCAGGGCAAUGGGAA
rnacentral:lncRNA from 10 species